AGAGUUUGGUCCUGGCUCAGAACGAACGCUGGCGGCAUGCUUAACACAUGCAAGUCGAACGUCGAUUAGUCCUUCGGGGCUAUGAGGCGUGGCAGACGGGUGAGUAAUACAUAGGAACGUACCCUUUGGUGGGGAAUAACAUCUGGAAACGGAUGACAAUACCGCAUAAUCCGGUAACGGCAAAGCUUUAUGCGCCGAAGGAGCGGCCUAUGUCAGAUUAGGUAGUUGGUGAGGUAAUGGCUCACCAAGCCUGUGACCUGUAGCUGAUUUGAGAGGAUGAUCAGCCACACUGGGACUGAGACACGGCCCAGACUCCUACGGGAGGCAGCAGUGAGGAAUAUUGGACAAUGGGGGAAACCCUGAUCCAGCAAUGCCGCGUGAGUGAAGAAGGCCUUCGGGUUGUAAAGCUCUUUUAUCGGGGAAGAAAAUGACGGUACCCGAUGAAUAAGCACCGGCUAACUUCGUGCCAGCAGCCGCGGUAAUACGAAGGGUGCUAGCGUUGUUCGGAAUUACUGGGCGUAAAGGGUGUGUAGGCGGAACUAUGCGUCAGAUGUGAAAGCCCCGGGCUUAACCCGGGAACUGCAUUUGAUACGGUAGAUCUAAGAGUACGAGAGGGGAAAGCGGAAUGGCGAGUGGAGCAGUGGAAUGCGUUGAUAUUCGUUGGAACACCAGAGGCGAAGGCGGCUUUCUGGCUCGUAACUGACGCUGAGGCACGAAAGUGUGGGGAGCAAACAGGAUUAGAUACCCUGGUAGUCCACACUGUAAACGAUGAGUGCUAGAUGUUGGAGGUGUCUAACCUUCAGUGUCGGAGCUAACGCGAUAAGCACUCCGCCUGGGGAGUACGGUCGCAAGACUAAAACUUAAAGGAAUUGACGGGGGCCCGCACAAGCGGUGGAGUAUGUGGUUUAAUUCGAGGCUACGCGAAGAACCUUACCAGCUCUUGACAUGGGGAUCAUACGGCGCAGAGAUGCGCUGGUCGGCUCGGCCGGAUCCCACACAGGUGCUGCAUGGUUGUCGUCAGUUCGUGUCGUGAGAUGUUGGGUUAAGUCCCGCAACGAACGCAACCCUUGCUGCUAGUUGCUAACAUUUAGUUGAGAACUCUAGCGGAACCGCCGGUGAUAAACCGGAGGAAGGUGGGGAUGACGUCAAAUCAUCAUGGCCCUUAUGGGCUGGGCUACACACGUACUACAAUGGACAUGACAGAGUGAAGCAAUGCUAUUUAAAGGCUGAGCAAAUCACAAAAAAAUGUCCUCAGUUCAGAUUGUCUUCUGCAACUCGAAGGCAUGAAGGAGGAAUCGCUAGUAAUCGCAGAUCAGCACGCUGCGGUGAAUACGUUCUCGGGCCUUGUACACACUGCCCGUCACACCAUGGGAGUUGGUUCUGCCUUAAGGCGGUGCGCUAACCCUCUUCGGAGGGAGGCAGCCGACCACGGUGGGGUCGAUGACUGGGGUGAAGUCGUAACAAGGUA
rnacentral:rRNA from 1 species